rnacentral:lncRNA from 1 species
CAAUAUCAUACCGAAUGGGCAAAAACUGGAAGCAUUCCCUUUGAAAACUGGCACAAGACAGGGAUGCCCUCUCUCACCACUCCUAUUCAACAUAGUGUUGGAAGUUCUGGCCAGGGCAAUUAGGCAGGAGAAGGAAAUAAAGGGUAUUCAAUUAGGAAAAGAGGAAGUCAAAUUGUCCCUGUUUGCAGAUGACAUGAUUGUAUAUCUAGAAAACCCCACUGUCUCAGCCCAAAAUCUCCUUAAGCUGAUAAGCAACUUCAGCAAAGUCUCAGGAUACAAAAUCAAUGUAUAAAAAUCACAAGCAUUCUUAUACACCAAUAACAGACAAACAGAGAGCCAAAUCAUAAGUGAACUCCCAUUCACAAUUGCUUCACAGAGAAUAAAAUACCUAGGAAUCCAACUUACAAGGGAUGUGAAGGACCUCUUCAAGGAGAACUACAAACCACUGCUCAAGGAAAUAAAAGAGGAUACAAACAAAUGGAAGAACAUUCCAUGCUCAUGGGUAGGAAGAAUCAAUAUCGUGAAAAUGGCCAUACUGCCCAAGGUAAUUUACAGAUUCAAUGCCAUCCCCAUCAAGCUACCAAUGACUUUCUUCACAGAAUUGGAAAAAACUACUUUAAAGUUCAUAUGGAACCAAAAAAGAGCCCGCAUCGCCAAGGCAAUCCUAAGCCAAAAGAACAAAGCUGGAGGCAUCACGCUACCUGACUUCAAACUAUACUACAAGGCUACAGUCACCACAACAGCAUGGUACUGGUACCAAAACAGAGAUAUAGAUCAAUGGAACAGAACAGAGCCCUCAGAAAUAACGCCGCAUAUCUACAACUAUCUGAUCUUUGACAAACCUGAGAAAAAUAAGCAAUGGGGAAAGGAUUCCCUAUUUAAUAAAUGGUGCUGGGAAAACUGGCUAGCCAUAUGUAGAAAGCUGAAACUGGAUCCCUUCCUUACACCUUAUACAAAAAUCAAUUCAAGAUGGAUUAAAGACUUAAACGUUAGACCUAAAACCAUAAAAACCCUAGAAGAAAACCUAGGCAUUACCAUUCAGGACAUAGGCAUGGGCAAGGACUUCAUGUCCAAAACACCAAAAGCAAUGGCAACAAAAGCCAAAAUGGACAAAUGGGAUCUAAUUAAACUAAAGAGCUUCUGCACAGCAAAAGAAACUACCAUCAGAGUGAACAGGCAACCUACAAAAUGGGAGCAAAUUUUCGCAACCUACUCAUCUGACAAAGGGCUAAUAUCCAGAAUCUACAAUGAACUCAAACAAAUUUACAAGAAAAAACCAAACAACCCCAUCAAAAAGUGGCCGAAGGACAUGAACAGACACUUCUCAAAAGAAGACAUUUAUGCAUCCAAAAAACACAUGAAAAAAUGCUCAUCAUCACUGGCCAUCAGAGAAAUGCAAAUCAAAACCACAAUGAGAUACAAUCUCACACCAGUUAGAAUGGCAAUCACUAAAAAGUCAGGAAACAACAGGUGCUGGAGAGGAUGUGGAGAAAUAGGAACACUUUUACACUGUUGGUGGUACUGUAAACUAGUUCAACCAUUGUGGAAGUCAGUGUGGCGAUUCCUCAGGGAUCUAGAACUAGAAAUACCAUUUGACCCAGCCAUCCCAUUACUGGGUAUAUACCCAGAGGACUAUAAAUCAUGCUGCUAUAAAGACACAUGCACACGUAUGUUUACUGCGGCAUUAUUCACAAUAGCAAAGACUUGGAACCAACCCAAAUGUCCAACAAUGACAGACUGGAUUAAGAAAAUGUGGCACAUAUACACCAUGGAAUACUAUGCAGCCAUAAAAAAUGAUGAGUUCAUGUCCUUUGUAGGGACAUGGAUGAAAUUGGAAAUCAUCAUUCUCAGUAAACUAUCGCAAGAACAGAAAACCAAACACCGCAUAUUCUCACUCAUAGGCGGGAAUUGAACAAUGAGAUCACAUGGACACAGGAAGGGGAAUAUCACACUCUGGGGACUGUGGUGGGGUGGGGGUAGGGGGGAGGGAUAGCAUUGGGAGAUAUACCUAAUGCUAGAUGACGAGUUAGUGGGUGCAGCGCACCAGCAUGGCACACGUAUACAUAUGUAACUAACCUGCACAAUGUGCACAUGUACCCUAAAACUUAAAGUAUAAUAAAUAAAUAAAUAAAUAAAUAAAAAGAAAAAAAGAAAAGAAAAGAAAAAGGACAGGUUUUCAUUAUCAAUAUUUUUCAAGAAGGGGAUUGGGAGAUACUUCUCAGGCAUAUAUUUAGAAAAGUGAAACUCCUUACUAGAAGAAAAUCACAUAAGUAUUUUUUUCAAAUGUUUAGAACACAGUUAUUUUCUCUCAGUGCUGAGAGAGUGUUCAGUAAACUCUUAUGGAUUAGCAAUCCCAUUUUCUCUCUAUAUACAACUCACCAGCAAACAAAUGCCAGUUUGCUCCAAGAAAAAAGCACUUAAGUUCUGGGGGAAUUAAAAGUAGUGUUAAAAACAGAUUUAGCAAUUAGCAACGGUGGCUGACAAAUGGCAAUACAGGUUUUUUUGUCUCCUUUUAUUUGCUUCAUUAUAGUUUGUGAUCUUGCCAUUUUGAGAAUGCAAAUACUCAAAAUUCUGCUUUUGUAAGAAUACCAUUUCUCCAGGUCUGCUGACCAUAAUCACAGUGAGAUACCUCUUUUUGUUAAAACUUUAUCUGUGCUAAUAAAAGAUUUAGUUAAAUCUUAUAUCCACAGCACUUACAUGGGGAAAG